UCUGCCCAAUCGACUCCAAAAAA
rnacentral:miRNA from 1 species